rnacentral:misc_RNA from 1 species
UUUCCGUAGGUGAACCUGCGGAAGGACCAUUAAAAAUGAAGCCGGGAAACCGGUCCUUCUCACCCUUGAUUAUCUCAAAUUGUUGCUUUGGUGGGCCGCGCAAGCACCGGCUUCGGCUGGAUCGUGCCCGCCAGAGGACCACAACUCUGUAUUAUAUGUCGUCUGAGUACUAUAAAAUAGUUAAAACUUUCAACAACGGAUCUCUUGGUUCUG